CUUAACCUUGAUUACCUCUACAAAGAUCCUAUUUCCAAAGUAAGUCACAUUCACUGGUACUGGGUGUUAGGACUUUAACAUAUCCUUUUGUAGGGCACAAUUCAACCCAUAGCAGUCUCCACCAGUUUCUCCAGCUCCCAAACAGGCAUAGGGAAUGUGGCAGAGGCGGUGAACUAAAAUGAACCCUGAGGUCCCUUCAGCUGUGAGUCUGAGGUUCUGUGUAUCCACCUGUUCUAAGUCCUUACAUUCGUCAGCCUUGGGCUACUAAGGAGUCCAAGAGAGACUUGAUGAGGAGGAGGUUCCAGGUUAUUAUAGAACAGAUAAGCAAUAUGGCCUUUGGAAAGCAUGAUUCAUGCUAAAAAAGAGGCAAGAUAAGAAGAGAGGACAUUCUGUAAUGAAUAAGGGUGGCUGCACCUUCAAACUGUCCUGGGCCCCUCCUGCUGGUCUUUCUUCGCCAUUCCUUAAGCUGUGGGAGUUAUGGAUAUGUCAGCGUUUCCAUUAUUGCCGCUCAUAUUCAAGGCCUCUGUCUUAGUCAUUGACAAUUGCAUCUGUACUGGAUGGAAGCCUAGAGGUAAUUUCCUUUAAUGUUAUGGCAGCUGCAUUUUUUAUGGCUGUGUGUGACUUUGCAAGUGAUCUUAACAUAUUUUUGUUUAAAAAAUUAAUUCAUACAUAAGUCUCAACUCUUUUUAUGUAUAUAGCUUUUACUCAAGAUUAGGAUAUGGAUCAUGCAAAUCUAAAGUUUACAAACAGUGCACAAGUAAGAAAGCUUGUGUACUUGGGGUACUUGGUGGCAACAGAACAAGGUAUGGCCAAGAAGUAAUAAGAUCCCUGUGUAUAUAAUCAGUCACAUAUCUCUGGGAUUUUAAAUGUAAAAGAGAGGAGAAGAGAAGAAAAGUUACUAAAUUAUAAAUUUAGAUUACAUGCAUUACACUUAUUGCAGACACUGGAAUUUUUUCAUUAAAUCGUAUAAUUUCAGAAUCUGAAGAAGACCUUAGGUCUUAUUUCAUUAAUCAAUUAUGGACGCUUAUUCCAUCAAUUUCACAUUCCCUCUUCUGCCCACCCAACAAUGUAUCAGUUAUCUGUUUCUGCCUUACAAAUUAAUCCAGAAUUUAGUGGCUUAAAAAAACAAUGACUGAGUAGCUCAUGAUUCCAGGUGUUGGCAAUUUGAGCUGAGCUCAGCUAGGUGGUUCUUC
rnacentral:lncRNA from 1 species